GACGAACGCUGGCGGCGUGCCUAACACAUGCAAGUCGAGCGAAGUUUUUCUGGUGCUUGCACUAGAAAAACUUAGCGGCGAACGGGUGAGUAACACGUAAAGAACCUGCCUCAUAGACUGGGACAACUAUUGGAAACGAUAGCUAAUACCGGAUAACAGCAUUAACUGCAUGGUUGAUGUUUAAAAGUAGGUUUUGCUAACACUAUGAGAUGGCUUUGCGGUGCAUUAGCUAGUUGGUGGGGUAAAGGCCUACCAAGGCGACGAUGCAUAGCCGACCUGAGAGGGUGAUCGGCCACACUGGGACUGAGACACGGCCCAGACUCCUACGGGAGGCAGCAGUAGGGAAUCUUCCGCAAUGGGCGAAAGCCUGACGGAGCAACGCCGCGUGAGUGAAGAAGGAUUUCGGUUCGUAAAGCUCUGUUGUUAGGGAAGAAUGAUUGUGUAGUAACUAUACACAGUAGAGACG
rnacentral:rRNA from 1 species